rnacentral:rRNA from 1 species
UACGUAGGGGGCGAGCGUUGUCCGGAAUCAUUGGGCGUAAAGCGCGUGUAGGCGGCUCGUUAAGUCCGGUGUGAAACCUUGGGGCUCAACCCCAAGCCUGCACUGGAUACUGACGAGCUCGAGUCCGGGAGGGGAGAGCGGAAUUCCUAGUGUAGCGGUGAAAUGCGCAGAUAUUAGGAAGAACACCGGUGGCGAAGGCGGCUCUCUGGAACGGUACUGACGCUGAGGAGCGAAAGCGUGGGGAGCGAACAGG